UACGUAGGGGGCAAGCGUUGUCCGGAUUUAUUGGGCGUAAAGAGCGUGUAGGCGGUCAGGCAGGUCCGUUGUGAAAACUCGAGGCUCAACCUCGAGACGCCGAUGGAAACCAUCUGGCUAGAGUCCGGAAGAGGAGAGUGGAAUUCCUGGUGUAGCGGUGAAAUGCGCAGAUAUCAGGAAGAACACCCGUGGCUAAGGCGGCUCUCUAGUACGGUACUGACGCUGAGACGCGAAAGCGUGGGGAGCGAACAGG
rnacentral:rRNA from 1 species